rnacentral:rRNA from 1 species
AGAGUUUGAUCCUGGCUCAGGACGAACGCUGGCGGCGUGCCUAACACAUGCAAGUCGAGCGGGGAACGGAUGGUAGCUUGCUACCGUUUGUUUCUAGCGGCGGACGGGUGAGUAACGCGUGAGCAACCUGCCUUUAUCAGGGGGAUAACGCAUCGAAAGAUGUGCUAAUACCGCGUAAGACCACAGCUUCACAUGGAGCGGGGGUCAAAGGAGCAAUCCGGAUAAAGAUGGGCUCGCGUCCGAUUAGCUAGUUGGUGAGAUAACAGCCCACCAAGGCGACGAUCGGUAGCCGACCUGAGAGGGUGAUCGGCCACAUUGGAACUGAGAGACGGUCCAGACUCCUACGGGAGGCAGCAGUGGGGAAUAUUGGGCAAUGGGCGAAAGCCUGACCCAGCAACGCCGCGUGAGGGAAGAAGGGUUUCGGCUCGUAAACCUCUGUCCUAUGGGACGAAGGAAGUGACGGUACCAUAGGAGGAAGCCCCGGCUAACUACGUGCCAGCAGCCGCGGUAAUACGUAGGGGGCGAGCGUUGUCCGGAAUGAUUGGGCGUAAAGGGCGCGUAGGCGGCCUGCUAAGUCUGGAGUGAAAGUCCUGCUUUCAAGGUGGGAAUUGCUUUGGAUACUGGUGGGCUGGAGUGCAGGAGAGGAAAGCGGAAUUACCGGUGUAGCGGUGAAAUGCGUAGAGAUCGGUAGGAACACCAGUGGCGAAGGCGGCUUUCUGGACUGAAACUGACGCUGAGGCGCGAAAGCGUGGGGAGCAAACAGGAUUAGAUACCCUGGUAGUCCACGCGGUAAACGAUGAAUGCUAGGUGUAGGAGGUAUCGACCCCUUCUGUGCCGCAGUAAACACAAUAAGCAUUCCGCCUGGGGAGUACGGCCGCAAG